CUGAAGCAGGCCUGGUAGCGAGUCACUUUUUAGUGAUUUGGUCACUAUUUUCGAGUCGGUCACUAAAAAGUCACUAUUUGCAUGAAAAAGUCACUAAAGUCACUUUUUUCAGUAAAUUGGUCACUAAAGUCACUAUUUUCGUGAAUCUGACUACAUUGAAAAACAUUUAUUGCCAAUAUUGAUGAACAAAUUUUGCUCAGAAACCUUAUCCUUAAAAAAAAUUUCGGCUGCGCCGCUUAUUACAUUAUUAUUAUCACGGAGAGAAAUCACACUAGUUUGAUACAACCAAAAUUUUGGUUGACAUUCAAAGUCUGAAUUUGGUUGUUCAGAGGUAAACAAUUAUUUGUUUCUAUGUCGAGGUUUCGAUCGGAACAAAUUAUUUUUUCAAGUACUUUUUACCCACAUCAUUUGGUUCUUCCAAAGUAAUACAUACUUAGAUACAAACCAUGAUUACAAUUUAAAUCAAUCGUUGCCUUGUUUAUUUUUACCAAAUAUUAGGUUGAUGAAAAUAAUUCAUGACUGAGAAAUACAAAGUAGAGCUUAGAUUGGAUGGAUCUAAUAAAAGCAAUAAAAAUAAACUAAAAAUUUGGUUGGACGAAUUCCAAUCUAAAAUCAAAUUCGAAGCAAACUAUAAUAUUAGUUUGUCCACACCACCAUUAGCUGCGUCGCGUCAGCCGCACUCUUUGCCAUUUCAUUGUUGUCAUUGUGUCUACGUAAUUUCGAUUGGCGGCGAGCUGGUCGAGUGUGGGCGGCUAUUUCAGGAUUACUAAACGGCCUCAGACUCAUCAUCAGCGUACAGAUUGGUGUGCGUUGCGACAAGGAAGACGCAAGCAACCCAUGACCGAAAAAAAAUCAUGGCUUCGGGCAGCAGUAGGCCAAUGUUCCGACCGGCUUACUUCGUUACUAUUAGGGAAAUCCGAGGGUUCCAUCGGGUGAAGGCUAUGAUCCUCCCUGACGAAUGUUUCCGAAGUGGAAGUGAAAAUGCAAGGUGAAAUAUGAACCAAAUGGGAUGAAUAAUACUUUAUAUUCUCCUGAAAAUAAAGAAAAAGUUGGCUCAAAUUCAUUGUUUUAUUUUUACAUUAUUUCCAAAAACACGGAUAAGAUGGAGGGGGGGGGGGCUAAGGAAGUGUAAACAAAGUAAUGUCAACAAUGUUUUUGUUCAAUUUGAGGUGCAGUGUUUGCUUGUUUCAAUUUGAUUCUUGGUAGGUUGAAAGUAAAUAAUUUGGCUGAAACAACAAAUGUUCUAGUUUGUUUCGGGAGCUGUCAAAAUAUAACUACCAAUGUAAUGGUAAAUUUGAACAAAAUUUAGUUGAAUUAAGGUAUUGAACCCUCAAAACAGUUACCUAAUAAUAUAGUUUGCUUUGACCAACGUCGUUAGUUGAAGGGAGCAAGAUUUUGUUUGUGCAAAUAUCAACCUUGAAAUUUGGUUGAAUCUUGCUAAAUUUUAGUUGCAUUUACCAAAUAUUUUUCUCCGUGAGGCUCCGCGGCGCCGCUCAAGAAUGAUCAGUCUUCUAUACACACUCGAGCUAUCCACACGCGGUUACCACAAGUGGCGACGAGGAUAAAAAAAAAGCGCGCGGCUAAUCAAGCAAUGAAAUGAAUCAAAUAAAAUGUUUUGUGAAUUCAUAAUACACAUAAUAAGUGGUUUUGUUCUCGCGGUUGCAAUAGGGGAAAAUUGAAAAAGUGGAAGACGAUGAGUGGGUGACGCCAAUCUUGUCGCAACAUGUCGGUGAGCAGUGAAAGUGGAAUGUGAAAGAAAAGAUAAAUUUUGUCUAUUCUGCAGCGAUUGGGGUGUGGGGUACAAGUGAUUAAAUUAAAUGAUUGGCAUCUCGUGUUGUUUUCUCAUGUUUGCCGGUGCCGUUGAGGUAUUGUGCCUUGCAAGAUAAAUCCGCGAAACGCGUUUGUCUUCCCGCAUAGAGAAAUACAACUUGUCAUACAUUCCAAACAGUAAGUUUCUUUUAACUGAUGAUGUGACAUUACCGCAGACAUUUGUUUUCAUGUUGAACAAUAUGGAAUUUAGUGCUAUACACAAUAAAAAACGUUUUCAACAGUUCAUAUCAAUCAGUAACAGUAUGUUAAAGUGUUCACACACUGUCAAACGAUAUGGAUACAAAACUUGAGUUGAAUGGUGGCAAUAUAGGAUCACCUCAUGCCAAACAGUUCACGCUCCCACAACACACAACACACUAACUCAUACGCAUUUCACUGUAUAAAACUAACGCUUAACAAUUCGUCAGAUGGUGGCGCACAUUAGUAUUUGUAACCGAUAUUUUUGUGCGCUCCUGCUGCGUUGUCUGUCAGAGUAUGCAAAAUAAAAAAAUAAAAUAAAUCGGUUUCGCAAGUUUGUACUGGUUUUGUUCGUCAUACUUGCCUGUUUUUUUUCAUUAUUAUGUGAUUGAGCCUGUUUAAUUGUUCGGUAUCUUCAAAACAAUUAUUAUCCGGAGUGGAUACUAUCGACUGAGAUCAGCGCAUACAACGCCCGAGGAGAAUGCGGAAUUGAAUCCGCAGCGGCUAGCUGACUGCAUCCACAAGCAACAACAUAUAGUUCUUUUUGUAUUCCAUGCAUUCGAAUGGUCCAUCCGGAAGAAUCGCAGUUGCAGGAUAAGUUAAUCUGGAGAUCAUCAUGGAAGCCGCGAAGCCGCCGGAUUUAAACCGACCCCUUUCAAGGUUAGACUUCCUUUCGGCGAGAGAUUGGCUUCGAAAGUGUAAAGAUGAAUGGAUCAUAGAUUUGCGACUUUAAAUGCGGAAAAGAGUUUUGAAUAUAUUCCAUUGCAUAUAGUGCACAGUGGCAUGAAAUGAAAAAGGUGUUAAGAAUAUGUUAGGCGGAAGAAGUAAUUACAGAACAUUGUAAACCUUGUUGUAAACAUUCAAUUUUAUAUUUCAGUGUGAUUUCGAAAUUAUAGUGUAAAAGACAAGAACCAGCGUUGUGGAAACAAAAUGACUAAAUAAAAGUUAUGUUAUAGAAAAUACAA